rnacentral:rRNA from 1 species
GACGAACGCUGGCGGCGUGCUUAACACAUGCAAGUCGAGCGGAAAGGCCCUUUCGGGGGUACUCGAGCGGCGAACGGGUGAGUAACACGUGAGUAAUCUGCCCUUGGCUUUGGGAUAACCACCGGAAACGGUGGCUAAUACCGGAUAUGACGCGCCCCGGCAUCGGGGUGUGUGGAAAGUUUUUUCGGCCAGGGAUGUGCUCGCGGCCUAUCAGCUUGUUGGUGGGGUAAUGGCCUACCAAGGCUUCGACGGGUAGCCGGCCUGAGAGGGUGACCGGCCACACUGGGACUGAGACACGGCCCAGACUCCUACGGGAGGCAGCAGUGGGGAAUAUUGGACAAUGGGCGGAAGCCUGAUCCAGCAACGCCGCGUGAGGGAUGACGGCCUUCGGGUUGUAAACCUCUUUCAGUACCGACGAAGCGCCGAUGAUGGUGGUGACGGUAGGUACAGAAGAAGCACCGGCCAACUACGUGCCAGCCGCCGCCGUAA